rnacentral:rRNA from 1 species
GGACUACCCGGGUUUCUAAUCCUGUUUGCUCCCCACGCUUUCGCACCUCAGCGUCAAUAUUGGCCCAGGUCGCCGCCUUCGCCACUGGUGUUCCUCCCGAUAUCUACGAAUUUCACCUCUACACCGGGAAUUCCGCGACCCUCUUCCAUAUUCAAGCCGGCCAGUUUCGAGUGCACUUCCCGGGUUGAGCCCGGGGCUUUCACACCCGACUUAGUCGGCCGCCUACGUGCGCUUUACGCCCAAUGAUUCCGAGCAACGUUUGCACCCUCCGUAUUACCGCGGCGGCUGGCAC